AAGGGAGCUUGCUCCCGGAUGUUAGCGGCGGACGGGUGAGUAACACGUGGGUAACCUGCCUGUAAGACUGGGAUAACUCCGGGAAACCGGAGCUAAUACCGGAUAGUUCCUUGAACCGCAUGGUUCAAGGAUGAAAGACGGUUUCGGCUGUCACUUACAGAUGGACCCGCGGCGCAUUAGCUAGUUGGUGAGGUAACGGCUCACCAAGGCGACGAUGCGUAGCCGACCUGAGAGGGUGAUCGGCCACACUGGGACUGAGACACGGCCCAGACUCCUACGGGAGGCAGCAGUAGGGAAUCUUCCGCAAUGGACGAAAGUCUGACGGAGCAACGCCGCGUGAGUGAUGAAGGUUUUCGGAUCGUAAAGCUCUGUUGUUAGGGAAGAACAAGUGCAAGAGUAACUGCUUGCACCUUGACGGUACCUAACCAGAAAGCCACGGCUAACUACGUGCCAGCAGCCGCGGUAAUACGUAGGUGGCAAGCGUUGUCCGGAAUUAUUGGGCGUAAAGGGCUCGCAGGCGGUUUCUUAAGUCUGAUGUGAAAGCCCCCGGCUCAACCGGGGAGGGUCAUUGGAAACUGGGAAACUUGAGUGCAGAAGAGGAGAGUGGAAUUCCACGUGUAGCGGUGAAAUGCGUAGAGAUGUGGAGGAACACCAGUGGCGAAGGCGACUCUCUGGUCUGUAACUGACGCUGAGGAGCGAAAGCGUGGGGAGCGAACAGGAUUAGAUACCCUGG
rnacentral:rRNA from 1 species